rnacentral:rRNA from 1 species
GACGAACGCUGGCGGCAUGCCUAACACAUGCAAGUCGAACGAGACCUUCGGGUCUAGUGGCGCACGGGUGCGUAACGCGUGGGAAUCUGCCCUUGGGUUCGGGAUAACAGUUGGAAACGACUGCUAAUACCGGAUGAGGUCUUCGGACCAAAGAUUUAUCGCCCAGGGAUGAGCCCGCGUCGGAUUAGCUAGUUGGUAGGGUAAAAGCCUACCAAGGCGACGAUCCGUAGCUGGUCUGAGAGGAUGAUCAGCCACACUGGGACUGAGACACGGCCCAGACUCCUACGGGAGGCAGCAGUGGGGAAUAUUGGACAAUGGGCGAAAGCCUGAUCCAGCAAUGCCGCGUGAGUGAUGAAGGCCUUAGGGUUGUAAAGCUCUUUUACCCGGGAUGAUAAUGACAGUACCGGGAGAAUAAGCCCCGGCUAACUCCGUGCCAGCCGCCGCGGUAA